GACGUAGGUGGCGAGCGUUAUCCGGAUUUACUGGGCGUAAAGGGUGUGCAGGCGGGGUAUCAAGUGGUGUAUGAAAGGAGGCGGCUCAACUGCCUCAUGUUAUGCCAGACUGAUGCUCUUGAGGACCAAACAGGGCUGUGGAAUUCCGGGUGUAGUGGUGAAAUGCGUAGAGAUCCGGAGGAACACCGAUGGCGAAGGCAGCCCCCUGGGCUAACACUGACGCUCAUGCACGAAAGCGUGGGGAGCAAACAGG
rnacentral:rRNA from 1 species